GCACCAUGGAUCAAUAAGGCUGAGAGGCCCAGAAUUUCUUGCCGUUUAUUACACUGUAAAGUGGGAGCAUACACAGAUGUGGAGUGAGGAAGAUAGCAAAGCCCUCUUAAACACAUGUUUGGAUCAUGGACAGACACAGGACUUCAUAAGAAGAGUUCACCAUGCAUGGCGUGGACACACUCCAAGCUGUUCACACUGGCUUGUUUCCAAAUGGGCACAAAUCCCCUCUGCAUACCCAAGUGAAUGAUCAUCUCCAGUGCAGUGGCUGAGCUACGCGAUUCUCCCAUAACUGUCAUGUUGAUGGUAAAACAACCUGAAGAAAUGAGAAAAAGCCUGGUUGGUUAUCAUUUCCUUCCAACUAUCCUUCACACUUCACUGCACCCAUGAGUAAAAUUUGUGUAAUGAAUGCACUGGGUCUGAGCAAUAUUGAUGCCACUGUGUACAAGAAAUAAUCAAGAAGUUAACAAAGCAACGAUGGCGUCUUUGGUAAGUACAGUGCUUAACUUCAGAAAUAAAAGUUGAAAUACCAUGACAUCAAACGUUCCCAGCAAAAGCACUCAGAAAAAUGAGAGCAUAAAGUUUCAAGGAAUGGAAGAAGACUGUUUUCCCUCUUAUGAGACACAGUCUGUUAAGAAAGGGAGAUUGUGAGUGCCUUCGUUUCAACUUCUUGGCCCCUCCCUUGGGGCUUGGGAUCUCCCAGGUCAAAUGGUCAGCCUGCAGGUAGGCCAGCUCUGUUCUGCGACCCUGGCUUCAAUUCAAGGAGCAAAGAAGUUGUCACUUCUUUUUGUUUCAAUCUCAGUCCCAAGCUUUGUUCUCCACACUACUUUGCCAUCAAAACAGCUGUUAUCCUAUUUCCAAUUUGACUCCGUUGUUUGUAUUUAUACUUCAGCAGUCAGAGAUCUAAAGGGGAGAAGAGAAUGAGGUAGGUAAAUGGUAGGAUGUGGGAUCCAAAGAUAGCCUAUCUUCAACAUCCUGCAAUAUUAAAACUGGAAGAAGUGAAGCCUCCUUAUGUGAUGAGAAAAAUGCAGAUCAGCUGGGCGCAGCAAAGCACGCUCGGUCACACAGCAUGCCAGGGCCAGAGACACAAGUAGACGUCCGCACGACAGCACAGAGAGGGCAUUGCCACAGACACACUUCAGCCUAAUGAGAGGAGUCCAGGAUGAUGAACUCUUCAAUCUGGAUGAUGUACUUCUAUGGGCAACAUGUAAGAACAGAUCAGCUUUUGUGGUUGUUGAUUAACAUCGAGCUUAAUGCCGAACACAUUUAACUUGUCUAUGUCAUGCCUUCAAAGUCCUCAGAGACAUACACCAUCAACCUGAACAUUGAUUCUUAAUGUGAUGAAUUCUUUCCAUGAUAUAAUAAUAAUAAUAAUAGAACAGUAGUAAAGACUGAUACUUAUUCUUUGCUUUGUGCUAGACAUUUUACACAUCAUGCUUUAUAUGUAUUAACUCAUUUUAAUCUUCACAAAAGUGUUUUGAGUUACCUACUAUUAUUUUCUCUAAUUUACAGAUGAGGAAAUUGAAGGCAAGUAAGGUAAAUCAUGUGUUCAAGGUCACACAACCAGUAGGGAGUAAUGUCAAGCUUAACCAAGGGAAUUAGGCCAGGCACGGUGGCUCA
rnacentral:lncRNA from 1 species